rnacentral:rRNA from 1 species
UACGGAGGGUGCAAGCGUUAUCCGGAUUUACUGGGUUUAAAGGGUGUGUAGGCGGGCUUUUAAGUCUGGGGUGAAAUCUCCGAGCUCAACUCGGAAACUGCCUUGGAUACUAUUAGUCUUGAAUACCGUGGAGGUAAGCGGAAUAUGUCAUGUAGCGGUGAAAUGCUUAGAUAUGACAUAGAACACCAAUUGCGAAGGCAGCUUACUACCCGAAUAUUGACACUGAGGCACGAAAGCGUGGGGAUCAAACAGG